AGGCCAAGACCCAGCAGCAGAAGCCAAGAGAAUAUCUUGGAACAUGCAGUGCUUGUGCAAUGGGUUCACUUGAGGAGCCCUGAAGUGGUCCAGCGCUACGCCCUGCCCGUGCUCUGGUCCUGCCUGGAGAACAAGGCGCUGCCUGUGCGAAGCGCCAACGUCUGCGCUGUGGUCACCAAGCUGGCCUGUGCCCUCUGUGAGGUGAUGGGCAGCGAGAUGAUUAAGUUAGCAGACAGCACACCUCCACACGUGCAGGAAAACCUCAACAGCCUUUUGGGCUGGUGAAGGUUUGACGUUCUCCAGAAAGCGGACAAAGUUCUGAGUUGAACACCACCGGACGUGACUUUUCAGCUGUGAGAAAAAUGACAAAGUGCUAAGGAAGGGUGUGCAUCUGCCCCCACUCUCUCCACCGCCCUUCCUAGUUACGGCAUGGGGGGCCUGAAGCAAACCGGGACUGAGGACAAGUUGAAGACCAAGCAUGGACCAGCGUCAUACAGAGAUACGACUGGCUACAGUCUUUCCAAGAGGUUUUCUCUGGACGCUUGGGACAUGCUUUUAUCAAGGAAGACCUUGCCUCCAGUCCGAAGAGCUGUCUUUCCUCCAAGAUCAGGAAGAAGCUGCCGACUGUCCGAAGAAUGUUUCAAGAAUAGGAUUUAGGAUUUAGGAUUAUCAAAAAUAGGAUUUAUCAAGAAUAGUGUUUAUCAGGAAUAGGAAUUAGGAUUUUGGAGUAGGUUUUAGGCUUCAUAGUUUCAGAUGUACAUAUGUUCUGAUA